rnacentral:lncRNA from 1 species
UGUGGGAUGCCUACCACAGCAUGGCGUGCCAAGCAGUGCCAUGUCCGCACCCAGGAUCCGAACCGGCGAACCCCGGGCCACUGAGAAGUGGAACAUGCGAACUUAACCGCUGUGCCACCGGGCCGGCCCCCUGCCCUGGAGUUUCUAAGGUGCUGGGUCCAAUCAACUGAACUGAUUUCUAGAGGAUUGUGAGCUGCGAUUUGAAAAACACUGAUCUGUGAGGCGUCGAGCACAUGAGUGGGCACGCACACGCAUGUGGUCUUGCACUCUUAGCGGUCAUCUCGCACAUGAGGAAACAGAGGCUCAGAGAAGCUAAGUGACUCGCCCAAGGUCACAAGGCUUGGAAGUGGCAGAACAAGGAUCCCCAUGCAGGCAGAUUGGACCUCCACUGUUAACACAUACUGCAUCUCAGAAAGCUCUGGAAAGACGGUGGUUCCUGGCAUUUGUUGAAGGAGCUGAUAAAAAUGAUCCUUAAUGUC